rnacentral:rRNA from 1 species
AUGAACGCUGGCGGCGUGCUUAACACAUGCAAGUCGAGCGAAGCAGCCCGGUGGAUCUCUUCGGAGUGAAGCCUGGCUGACUUAGCGGCGGACGGGUGAGUAACGCGUGGGUAACCUGCCUCAUACAGGGGAAUAACAGUUAGAAAUGACUGCUAAUGCCGCAUAAGCGCACACUAUCGCAUGAUAGAGUGUGAAAAACUCCGGUGGUAUGAGAUGGACCCGCGUCUGAUUAGCUAGUUGGUGAGGUAACGGCCCACCAAGGCGACGAUCAGUAGCCGACCUGAGAGGGUGACCGGCCACAUUGGGACUGAGACACGGCCCAAACUCCUACGGGAGGCAGCAGUGGGGAAUAUUGCACAAUGGGGGAAACCCUGAUGCAGCGACGCCGCGUGGAUGAAGAAGUAUUUCGGUAUGUAAAGUCCUAUCAGCAGGGAAGAAAAUGACAGUACCUGACUAAGAAGCCCCGGCUAACUACGUG